rnacentral:tRNA from 1 species
GCGGGUGUGGUGAAAUUGGUAGACACGCCAGACUUAGGAUCUGGUGUCGUGAGACAUGGGGGUUCGAGUCCCUCCACCCGCA